UGGGGAAUAUUGCACAAUGGGCGCAAGCCUGAUGCAGCCAUGCCGCGUGUGUGAAGAAGGCCUUCGGGUUGUAAAGCACUUUCAGCGGGGAGGAAGGCGAUAAGGUUAAUAACCUCAUCGAUUGACGUUACCCGCAGAAGAAGCACCGGCUAACUCCGUGCCAGCAGCCGCGGUAAUACGGAGGGUGCAAGCGUUAAUCGGAAUUACUGGGCGUAAAGCGCACGCAGGCGGUUUGUUAAGUCAGAUGUGAAAUCCCCGGGCUCAACCUGGGAACUGCAUCUGAUACUGGCAAGCUGGAGUCUCGUAGAGGGGGGUAGAAUUCCAGGUGUAGCGGUGAAAUGCGUAGAGAUCUGGAGGAAUACCGGUGGCGAAGGCGGCCCCCUGGACGAAGACUGACGCUCAGGUGCGAAAGCGUGGGGAGCAAACAGG
rnacentral:rRNA from 1 species